rnacentral:lncRNA from 1 species
GGGCGGGCAGAGGGGGCUGGCCGGGGCUGCCGGGGCGGCGGGGCCCCCGCGCGGCGGCCCGCACCCCCCCACCGCCCAGGAAGGUGGGGGGCGUGGGGCUGGGGGCGGCGGGCGGCGGGCAGCGGAGGGCGGCGGCGGCGGGGGGCGGCGGGGGGCGGCGGGGAGCGGCGGGGAGCGGCGGGCGGCGGGCGCUUCCUCGCGGCUCCGCUUCCUCCUAGCUCGUCGGGUGCAUGGUCGCGGCGGCGGCGGCGGCGGCGGCGGCGGCGGCGGCGGCGGCGGGGGCCGGGGCGGGGGCCGGGGCGGGGGCCGGGGCCGGGGCGGCGGGGGCCGGGGCGGCGGCGGGCGUGUCUCGGCCCCGCCGCGCGCUCGUGUGUACAGUACGUGUGUCUGGGCGGCCGUCCGCGGGCGAGUGUGCGGCGGGGGCCGCGGGGGCCGGCUCAGUUGAGAGAUUGCAGAAGCCGCUCGGCGCCCGCGCGAUUGGUCCCCGCGGGGUCAUGUGCCCGCCCCUCUGACGUCAAUGGCGGCAACGGCGGCGGCCGCCGCGGCUCCGGCCUCUCGCAGGCGGGGUCGGCCGCCGGGCCCGGCCGCGAGGGCCCGAGGGCGGCCCGACGGGAGGGGCGGCCCCCGGGGAGGGGGCGGCGGCGGACGAGCCCCCGCGGCCCCGGCCUGCCCCGCCCCGAGCGCGGGGGUGGGCGGGGGCCGCGGGGGCGGGGCGCGUGACGUCACGGCCAGCCGCGCCCCCGCGGGUGCCCAGGCGGGUGCCCGGGCGGGGGCCGGGGCGGGGGCCGGGGCGGGGGCCGGGGCGGGGGCCGGGGCUCGGCGGGUGCGGAGCGGAGCGGCCCGCCCCGGGCGGCCAGGACCCGGACGGCCAGCGCCCCGGGACGCACGGACGCGGCGGCCCGAGACCAGGCCCCGCACGAGGCUGGGAGAGAACCCUACUGGAAGCACCCUGGUGUCACCGAGGACCUCCAACUCUGCAACAAGGACAUGUCCUUUCUGUCUUCGGGAGAGGCACCUAAAGCCACCCAGCAAAUGCUCAGCUUCCCCGCCAGGCUUUCUCACAGCCACACACGUCUGCAGUUAAUACCAUUGAAACCCCCAGAUGUUUGCCUUUUUUGUUAAGUGAAGGUGCCUCCGUAGUGAAUAUGUGAGCGUGUGAGUGUGUAUUGAAUUGCACGGUGAAUGCUGGCAGUUGGCCCACAGCAUCCCUGUCGGGGGAAUUAGACCCCCACCCCCCACCCCUCUCCCAAGAACAGACAAGAUGGAGGGGCUCCUGGCAAGGAUCCGAUCCCUGGGCCUGGCCGGGGCUGCAGUGGGGGUGGGGAGGCACAUAGGGCCUGUGUCUGGAGAGGGGUAGAGCUGUUCUCUCCUCCUGGCCCCCUGCGGAGGCAGUUAGGUGAGAAAAUGGGGAAUUGGUCAACCCUCCACCAUUUGCUGGCAAAUUCUGAUCUUCGAACUCUAAAGUUUACAGCCUUGAGAAAAUAAGCAAGAAAGGGUCAAGCCCACACCCCCACCUCAUGAUAUAGAUGUGGUUUCAGGGCAUGAUUGUGACCAAAACCUCCAGGCCAUUAAGAGGUGGGGUUAGGCCAGUUGUUCAACCCUUUAUUGAGCUCUUCCUGUAUGUUAAGUGCUCUGCAUGCAUACAAUUGCUCCUGCUCAGAGCAACCACAAUCUAGGUGCCAUCACCAUCCCCUCUGGCAGGUGAGGGUACAGAGAGGCUGAGUAACUUGCCAGGUGCAUUUAGCUCAUCAGGCUGAGUCUAGGACAAUGUAAAGGCAAUGACCACGCUGUGCUUAGGCUACAGGAAAAGAGAGGGGACACCUGAUCCAGCUAUACUGUGGCCCCGGGGUACAUGUACUGACUCCAGGAGGUCUUCAGGAAUCAGGUAAAGAAGGGAAAAGGUGCUUCUGGAAGAGGGGAUGGCACAUACAAAGGUAAGAAGUCGGAUAACACUCAGCCUGUCCAGGAAACUACAUGCAUUUGACAAGGCUUGCAAAGUGCCCCAGGCUUGCAGGGCAGAAGGCUAAAAGGUGACCUGGGGCUGAGUGCCCUGAAAUGGGACCAGACCAAGAGCAGUGGAAAGCCGCCACAUGGACCAUACAAGGGAGUGGGUUGUGGAUAUCACCUUCAUCAGGUCACUGGCCACAGCAUGACAUGGUCAAGGUUUGCAGAGGAGCAACCUGGAGACAGGGAAGUCAGUGAGGAGGCUGUCAGAGUACCCAGGAGGGAGAUGAUGGGGGCCAACGUGGAGUCACGGGGUAGGAUGGCUCAGAGCAGCUGCUGUCCACUUUAGGGACAUCCGCAGACCCUCCUCUCCCCAUCCAGGGGGCAAACUCCAGCAGGAUGAGAUUUACCAGGGAGCAAAAAUCCCUGAUUUCUUCUAGGACCAUUCCAGACAUCCUCAGCUGCUGCUUGGGUUCGGUGGUUGAUUUGUAAACGUUACAUAGGCAUAUCACGAUAACAAUGAGCAGCAUGCCAAGUGCCAGGUACCAUGCCAGAGCUUUCAUGUUUGUUCUUUCUCCCCCAGGGAGCCCAGAAGACACAAAUCAUUAUCAUCCCCCUCUUAAAGGUGAGGAAGUUAAGGCUCAGAGAUGAUCAGACACCUGGUGGGAAUCCAGCCAAGGUGUGAACCCAUAAUUCCGUUUGACCUAAAAUUCCAUGCUUUCCCUCCACUCCUUCUUUGUAAUGUUUCCCUGUGCAGGUGCUCAGGGGAAAAGUGUUGAAUUGAUGUCAUCUUUAAAUACUACUUCUCGGUUUUAGUUUGAAGUGAGUGACACGGAGCCCCCAAGAUGCUGCAAGAAGAGUUCCAUGAAGGCAGAAGCCAACAGUUCCUGGCUCACGGCAGAGCUAGCUUAGCGCCUGCACGUGAUCAGGCUUAACAAGUAUGCAGUGAUUGAUCAAUUGAUAGUCACACUCACCUAUUCCCCAGUGCUUAGGAAUGUGCACGCAAUAGGACCGGGUCCGUACACUGGGCAGCGUUGGGACUCGGUGGGUGCUUUGCAGAGCACCUUGCCUCCCACUGUCCCAGGUUCCUGACCUAAAAACCAAUGAGUCUAACUGCCAGAUUCCAUCAGAAGCCCCCCUCAACACCGCUCCCCCCAGCUCCCCAACCUCUGUAGGAGACAUAGGCCCAACAAAUUUCCAUGGAUGGAUCAUGUGCCCUAGUGGUCCUUAAAGCCACCAGACCCAAACUCUCCAAAGAACAAGCGAGGCCCUUCCUGGGCCACAUGGGUGGAGAGCCCACUCUGUGGCAAGCACAGUUCUAGGAGCUGAGGUUGCAGUGAACGGCAAUAAACUGCCCUCAUGCGCUCACAUCUCCCCUCCCAGGUGCCUGAAGUCUCCCCUUGAGCUAAGAGGGGAAAGACAGAGCUGGCUGCCCACAAAGGAAUGUGAUGAAGUAGCAAAGUCCCUGGUGGGGGAGGAGAACAUGGGGCUGAUGGCCAGUCCUAGGAGAGGUCCACCUCAGCCCCCUCCUCUAUCACUCCUGCCCCUCCUGGGAGACAUGCCUGUAGCUGGGUGGUCUCCUCCUUGGGGUGGUCUCCAGUGGAGAUCCCCACCAGCCUUUGCAUAGCCCCUUUCUUCUCCUCGCCAGCAUGAAUGGUGCACAAACCCAACACCCUGUACCCUCUAAGAGGGCAGGGUUCAUUCCAGUUUUGCCCAUUACUGUGCCCAGUGGUUUACUAGUAAACGUUUAACAGUCAACUUACUGAAAGACGAGAAUCUGAUUUAGAGCAUUUGACUUCCCUGGUGUAAAUAUUCCCAACAUGGCAGUCUUCAAGCUACCAAAGUGCAUCACUGAACAAGGAGCUGGGAAGAGAUGCAUCCAUCCCAUCAUAGUGUAUGUCCACAUACAGACACAAUAUCCCAGGGGUCACACCAGCAAACCAUGGCUGAGGGGCCAGAUUCAGCUCGUGGCUGGCAAAGCAUAAAAUACCAUCUGGCCCUUACAACAGAAAAAAUUGGAGAGCCCUGCAAUAGGCAUAACCUUCAGAACAGAGAUACUAAUAAAAUAUAAUAGAAUGAUUAGGAAAUGAUGAGGUUUAGUACCUUUUAAAAAUAUAAUUUAGGGGCACCUGGAUGGCUCAGUGGUUGAGCGUCUCCCUUUGGCUCAGUGUGUGAUCCCGGUGUCCUGGGAUCAGGUCCCACAUCAGGCUCCCUGCAGGGAGCCUGCUUCUCCCUCUGCCUGUGUCUCUCUCUGCCUCUCUGUGUCUCUCAUGAAUAAAUAAAUUAAAUAUUUAAAUAUACAUAAAAAAUUUAAUUGUAACAUUAUAUAACAUAAGCCUGUUUAGUAGCUGUUUGACAACCAACUUGAAAAAUUUCUGAGAAACCAACAACCGGCUCUCAUGAGCCAGUAUAGGGUCAACUCCAAAAUGCCCGUGUCUCUAGGGUCCAGCCCAGAGGAGCUACAUAGUGAUUACUGGUUGACUGGUUCAAAAUCAAUACCAAUAUUCAAACUACUAGGCCACACUGCCCUGCUCCAUUCUUUCAAUUCCAUUAAACACCUAUCUAGUUGUGCCUCCAGAGUGCCAAGGACUUUGCUAGAUAAAGUUAGUUCUCCUUGGAUACGUUCCAAGAUCCCCAGUGGAUGCCUGAAAACACAGAUAGUACCAAACCCUAUAUGGACUGUUUUUUCCUAUACACAGAUAUCAAUGAUAAAAGUUUAAAAAUUAGGCACAGUAAGAGAUUAACAACAAUGACUAAUAAUAACAUAACAAUAUAGUGUAAUAAAAGUUAUGUGAAUGUGGUCUCUCAAAAUAGCUUGUUGUACCAUACUCACCCUUUUUGUGAUAAUAAGAGAUAAUAAAAUGCCUACAUGAGAUGAGAUGAAGUGAGGUGAAUCACAUAGACAUGUGCUGUAGCGUUGGGCUACUUCUGAACUUUUUUUUUUUUUAAUUUUAUUUGAGAAAGAGGGAGAGCACAGAUGGAGAAGGAGAGGGAGAAGCAGGCUCUCCACUCAGCAGAGAGCCUGACGUGGGACUAGAUCCCAGGACCCUGAAAUCAUGACCUGAGCUGAAGGCAGAAGCUCCACCAGCUGAGCCACCCAGGUGCCCCUACUGUUGAUCCUCUGAAAAGAUGUCAGAAGGAGGAUCAUCUGCUUCUGGACAGGGUAAUCUCGAGGGUGAUCUCAAGUAACGAAGCACGGAUAAGGAGGACUUCUGUACUGCAGAUCCACUCACACAAGAUACUGCCCUCCCAGGGCUCAUAGGUGAAUGGGGGGAACCUGACACCCCUCCCUUCCAACCACCUGCCCCCCAAAAGAAAAGUAUUCCAGGAGAAAAAAAAAGCUCUCUGCCAUUCCCUUUCCCAGCUGUGUAUAUUUUAUUGAUUUAUUAUAAAGUGGGGUCCUAACUGAGCCUUUUUCCAGGUCGUAGACAUUAAAUGAGAUCAUCAGCAUUGGGCUCACAGCCUGGCACAGAGCAGGUGCCCUGGAUCCGCGGUAGCCACCUGGCAUGGCUACUGUCAGUUUAGAACCGCGCUGACCCGGCCCCGAGCGCUGGCUUUCCAUCUAUUCCACUCGUCCAGACCUUCCCCACUUGCCCAGUGACUGGCACACUCUCACGACAGCAUCUCUGCAGGGU